rnacentral:tRNA from 1 species
GGGCCAUUAGCUCAAUUGGCAGAGCGGCGGACUCUUAAUCCGUAGGUUGAAGGUUCAACUCCUUCAUGGCCCA